GACGAACGCUGGCGGCGUGCCUAAUACAUGCAAGUCGAACGAGAGCGACCGGUGCUUGCACUGGUCAAUCUAGUGGCGAACGGGUGAGUAACACGUGGGUAACCUGCCCAUCAGAGGGGGAUAACAUCCGGAAACGGAUGCUAAAACCGCAUAGGUCUUCGAGCCGCAUGGCUUGAAGAGGAAAAGAGGCGCAAGCUUCUGCUGAUGGAUGGACCCGCGGUGCAUUAGCUAGUUGGUGAGGUAACGGCUCACCAAGGCCGUGAUGCAUAGCCGACCUGAGAGGGUGAUCGGCCACAUUGGGACUGAGACACGGCCCAAACUCCUACGGGAGGCAGCAGUAGGGAAUCUUCCGCAAUGGACGCAAGUCUGACGGAGCAACGCCGCGUGAGUGAAGAAGGUUUUCGGAUCGUAAAACUCUGUUGUUAGAGAAGAACAAGUGCUAGAGUAACUGUUAGCGCCUUGACGGGAUCUAACCAGAAAGCCACGGCGAACUACGU
rnacentral:rRNA from 1 species